rnacentral:rRNA from 1 species
ACCUUAGUAACGGCGAGUGAAGCGGUAAAAGCUCAAAUUUGAAAUCUGGUACUUUCAGUGCCCGAGUUGUAAUUUGUAGAAUUUGUCUUUGAUUAGGUCCUUGUCUAUGUUCCUUGGAACAGGACGUCAUAGAGGGUGAGAAUCCCGUUUGGCGAGGAUACCUUUUCUCUGUAAGACUUUUUCGAAGAGUCGAGUUGUUUGGGAAUGCAGCUCAAAGUGGGUGGUAAAUUCCAUCUAAAGCUAAAUAUUGGCGAGAGACCGAUAGCGAACAAGUACAGUGAUGGAAAGAUGAAAAGAACUUUGAAAAGAGAGUGAAAAAGUACGUGAAAUUGUUGAAAGGGAAGGGCAUUUGAUCAGACAUGGUGUUUUUUGCAUGCACUCGCCUCUCGUGGGCUUGGGCCUCUCAAAAAUUUCACUGGGCCAACAUCAAUUCUGGCAGCAGGAUAAAUCAUUAAGAAUGUAGCUACUUCGGUAGUGUUAUAGCUUUUUGGAAUACUGUUAGCCGGGAUUGAGGACUGCGCUUCGGCAAGGAUGUUGGCAUAAUGGUUAAAUGCCGCCCGUCUUGAAACACGGACCAAGGAGUCUAACGUCUAUGCGAGUGUUUGGGUGUAAAACCCGUACGCGUAAUGAAAGUGAACGUAGGUUGGGGCCUUCGGGUGCACAAUCGACCGACCUUGAUGUUUUCGGAUAGGUUUGAGUAAGAGCAUAGCUGUUGGGACCCGAAAGAUGGUGAACUAUGCCUGAAUAGGGUGAAGCCAGAGGAAACUCUGGUGGAGGCUCGUAGCGGUUCUGACGUGCAAAUCGAUCGUCGAAUUUGGGUAUAGGGG